CUCGAGGACGAACGCUGGCGGCGUGCUUAACACAUGCAAGUCGAACGGAAAGGCCCCCUUGUGGGGUACUCGAGUGGCGAACGGGUGAGUAACACGUGAGUAACCUACCCUUGACUUUGGGAUAACUUCAGGAAACUGGGGCUAAUACCGGAUAGGAGCUCCUGCUGCAUGGUGGGGGUUGGAAAGUUUCGGCGGUUGGGGAUGGACUCGCGGCUUAUCAGCUUGUUGGUGGGGUAGUGGCUCACCAAGGCUUUGACGGGUAGCCGGCCUGAGAGGGUGACCGGCCACAUUGGGACUGAGAUACGGCCCAGACUCCUACGGGAGGCAGCAGUGGGGAAUAUUGCACAAUGGGCGGAAGCCUGAUGCAGCAACGCCGCGUGCGGGAUGACGGCCUUCGGGUUGUAAACCGCUUUCGCCUGUGACGAAGCGUGAGUGACGGUAAUGGGUAAAGAAGCACCGGCUAACUACGUG
rnacentral:rRNA from 1 species